rnacentral:rRNA from 1 species
AGUCACUGACAUUAGAUACCCCCUGUAGUCCAGGGUGUAAACGCUGCAGACUUGGUGUUGGAAGUCCUUUGGGGGGCAUUCAGUGCCGGAGAGAAGUUGUUAAGUCUGCUACUUGGGGAGUACGUCCGCAAGGAUGAAACUUAAAGGAAUUGGCGGGGGAGCACCGCAACGGGAGGAGCGUGCGGUUUAAUUGGAUUCAACACCGUAAAACUCACCAGGGAAGACUGUUACAUGAAAGCCGAGAUGAAGACUCUGCUAGAUUUUCAG